rnacentral:lncRNA from 1 species
GGCCCUCCAACAUUUGCAAUAGACACCUCAUUUAUUUUUGUGGUUGAGAUGAAAUAUUUCAUGAGCUGAUCAUUGAGCACCAUUGGAUUACAAUAGCCCCCCACAGUUUUUGCCAUAUUUUCUCCAAAGCCCUCUUCUGGGGGUUUCUGAUCAAAUCUUCACGAGCUACUUUAAUGGAGGAUUUGGGAUUAAACUUUACAGAGAAGGCAACAAACGGAAAGAGCACCUUUUCAGCCAAAAGCUUGAGGGAUAGAGGAGUAAGAGGAGAGGGCUAGUUUUUGAUUAGGAUAAACAUUCUCUAAUGUAAGUCACUUUCCUCACAAUUAUUUUCUAUUCAUUUUUUUUAAAUUAUUGUAUUUUAGUUCUUUUUUUAUUUUUUUUGUCAUGUAAAUUUGUACUCCUUGAUCCACUGUUGUUACUAAUCUAUCAUCAAUGAUGAGAGUUGAAGAAUUUCCCUUUAUCUUUCCUUUUCUGUAUUCCAAGUUAAUUAUUUGUUAAUAUGUUGUGAGUAAGAUAUUGAGCAUCAACAAACAGCUAUAUGGCAACUCUUUUAAUGAUUUGGAAGUGAAUUGCCGAAUCUGAUUGGAAGAAAUAAUUAAAAAAAAACGUAGGAUAGUCUUGAAUCUAGUUGCUAUAAUUGUGAACAAAUGAUCAACGGAUUAAGGUAAAAAAAAAAAUUUUUUUUGAAAAGAAAAAGUUAAGGUAAAUCAAGAAACAUCCAGUCACAGAAGCCCAUGAUCAGGCACUUGAUCUGGAACCUAUAUAUACUUCCGCUUAGAAAGUGAAAGCCCAUUCCCCUUUAUCCAUCAAAAGUUUCAUUUCACCAAAUAUUACAUGCCACAGGACUUUUUAGUCAAGAAAUCUCUAUAUACCAAAAUGUUCCUUUUCAAAUUGGUUGAAGAAGGAAAAAAAACAUUGCAUGUAGUUUCCAAAAGGCAAUGUAGAGUAAGUCCAAGAAGUACUUGUUACUAUUGUAAGCAUAAUAUUUGCUUCAAACCAACUCAAAAUACAUAUGGAGAUAACCAAUGCAAUAUGGUGUCACUAGCGGAAGAACAAUAAUCAGUAAACAGCUGAUUUCUCAUGUGUUUAUUUAUUUGCAUGGAAAUCUUACUGUUAUGGUUUAAAAUAUCUUCAAAAUCAAGUGGAAAAAUGACUAAAAGGGAUUUUUCCAUCUAUGAUCAAUAUCCUUUUUUGUUUCAAAUGAUCCCUUAGAUCCUUGAUUUUGUCACAGCUAAUGUUGCAUUCAUUUUAGUUUGUGGUACCAGGACUAAAUUCAGUGAAACAGACAGAUUCUGGAGUCAUAAAAAGGAAAAUCAUUCAAAAAUUUUGUGAUUUUCUUUGUGUUUUGAAAAGGAGAAGUAAUUGGCAAUUUGGCAUAUAUCCCUGAGGUAGGAGAAGUGACAAAUUCUAUAAAUGGGCCAGUUUUAGAAAGUCCCUUAAAAAUUUGAGGUUUGGCCCUGUCCCUAGACUGGUAAAGGAUUGUUUUUCCGGGAUUGGGGAUUGACAUACAUUUUAUCAUUUCUCCUCUUAUUAUGGUCAAAGUAUUUCUUUAAUUGAUAUCUCUUUUUUUUUCUUGACUCACGCAUAUCUUUCUACUGUGUCAUUUCUACCUAAUUUGGACUGAUUGAGCAUAAAGAAGCUAAAAUGAGAUGAUUUUCCUCUUUUUUGGCUGCUCAAAGAAACUCAAGUGAUGGCCAGGGAUAAACAAAAAGAAAAAAAACCCCAACUAUGGUUUUUUUUUUAAAUUUUUUUUUAUCAUUAUUAAAAGGGCAACCUCAGCUGUGACAGUUGUAUAUUUGGAGCUGAUUCAGGUUUGUUCUUGUACCACCUUAAUUUGUUUUAAUGCUUAUUUUCCCCUUUGAGGCGUUUACUUGUACUUCAACUCUUCGUGUACAUGUAUGCACACAUGCAUGCAACAAAGACAUGACUAUGGAAAGAACUAAGGGGGCUGGAAUAAAAUCGAUAGCUCAUUCUCAAUUCUUAAUACUAUAGUAAAUUACGAGUGAAAUCAAUAUUAUAUGGCUCACAUCCUGCAAAAAAGAAUAAUGUCGAUACUGUAUUACUGGUAAUUCAAGAAAACACCUAGUUCUAGCUAGUUGGAAGUUGGCAUGGUGCAUGCAGAAUUAGUCUUCAUGGAUUCUUCUUCAGAGCGUCUAUAUACCUCACUUCCAUGAUGUCAUUAUUUGAAAUGAAGUCAAGAAAACCACUGAAGCUCCCUUCUGCGUAGGACAAAGGAUGUUGAUCAUCCACAAGCAGCGGGGCAGGUCCUACCUUCCUCUCUAAGGCUAAACUAUGAAGGCUCGCAAUGGAAAUACGAUCAGUGUCCGAGUUAACCGUAGCGCGGUGGACAAGGCUCUUACAUAGACCAUUGCUGAUUAUUUCCAUUUGAUCUCCUAUCUGAAUCACCAGGGCUCCUUUCCUGACUGGAACUUGAUACCAUUUCUUGUCAUGGCUCAUGAUUUCUAGUCCCUGAUGAUUUUGAAGUAUUAUAGUCAUGUAACCGUAGUCCGAGUGUGGUGGCAUGCCUAGUACGAGAUCUGGUUCAGGACAUGUAGGAUAGCAGUUCACAGCCAUGACUUGGGAUCCUUCAUCAAUGCCCUCAUGUAAGUACUUAGGGCUUAGCCCUAAGUUCUCAAAUACAACUCCCAUCAACUUUCUAUGCAAUGCAUGCACGGCUUGCGUAUAGUUUCCCAUUUUUUCCCUACAAAAUGGCAAAACAUGAUGUUAUGUUAUAGGUUAAAGAAUUAGGUAUUUAAUUAGCUUUAUUGAUGCUUUGCAAAGCUUCUUUCAAGUGGCCCUAAAUCUACUUACUUGUAGGUUUUUGGAUUUGAUGGCCAUUGGUCGAUCCAAGUUGAAAUCGGAUGAGAGUAAUGUUUGAUGAAGUCUCUCCAAAAGAGAACCCUAUCCUCAACAUGAUUCAGACUGGUUCCAUAUCUAACAGGUUCGCGGAUAUUGGCUGAUGCAAGUGACAUCUUCUCUUCGUGUGGCAACUCAAAGAAGUCAGUUGCAGCGUCUAGGGCAUCAUUCAUGACUGAAAGAGGUAUCCCAUGAUUAAUGACCUGCAAAACAUACGAGUCAUUAAUUGUUGCAUUACCGUGGCAUAUGCAUGCAUGCCAAUCCUAUGCCAAUGGAAAUUGCUAUUCUGCCUAGCUUCUUUUUGUUGCUCAACAGCUUCGAGCUUUUUGCUCCAGGUUUUUGCAUUAUUGCAAAAACCAGGUAAAUAUUUCGAUGAAACACAGAAAUCAUGCGGGAUCUUAGUUAAUGGCAGUGAAUGGUGCUACUCAUGCAUGUCACAAGGAACAUGAAUUCCUGCAUGUUCGUUGCAUGACCACUCCAAUACGUUAUACCAUUGAGGUUGGUAAAUCAUUAGCAAAAUCAACAAAAAUCUGAAAAUAUGAAAUAUAUGUCCGUACAUGCAUGGUGUUCUCAGAAACUUCUUGUCUUUCUCUUCAGGAAAAAUCAUGCGAUUCUUGUGCAUGCAAGAGACAGGAUUAACGGCCUAUAAUGUAUACCUGGAAAAAUCCUGAGUCCUUGCAUGCCAGGCGUACUUCCU